CGUGCAUCCCAACCUCCAACCGGAUUCCCAGCUUCUUCCCUUCCGGAUGAGUCCCAAGCACCUAACAGGGCUCUGUUAAGAAACAGAACCAAAUCCUCCGCAUAAUCCACGGGCUUCCGAGAUCUUCCCUCAGCAAAAUAAAUCAAGGAGUUCAUCAUCAUAACCAUCCGAACUUCACUCCCUGAUUUUUAUCCAACGCCCG
rnacentral:lncRNA from 1 species